UGAAAGCUGUUUGGCCUUGGCCAUGUGAGAGCAGGCAGUAGGGAGAUAAGAGAGAAAAGCCAGGUGCUGAUGCAGAUAAGGACAUGUGCCUGCAAGGGGAGAACUCGUCCUGAGUGGCAGCAGGGAAUGACAGACUGAUCUGGCCAUUGGUGCUGCAAGAGAGGGCAGUGGGGCUCUCGGGGAUGCUGCCAUGGAAACUCUACACAGGAGUGUUGGAAAACCACUCCUGUUGCCCCAACCCCAGGGAAUGAAAUGCAGAGGGUGUUUGCACUUCCCUUCCUCCCUGAUGGAGAGCACAUCAUCAUGGCACUGCCUAAAUCCUGCUUAGCGUGGAGUUGAAAUCCUGGCUGCAGUUCUGGCAGCUCGUGCCCAAAGGAACACGGGAGUGGAGCUGCCAGAGGUCGGGGAAGGGCAGAAAGGAAGCUGGGAUGGGCUGAGCGAGCUGGGAAAGAGGCAGCGUCAAGGGGGGCCCAGCCAAGGUCUGCAGCACCCUGAGAGGCAGAGAGAGAGGGGGGCAGCACGUGCCUGCCCCUGCAGCUGGAGUCCAGAUCUGGUAUGAGAAGCAAACCAAGAGAGGCAAUGAGUGAGUCUUCUUCUCCCUGUUUUGGCAGCAUGAACGGGAAUUGUACCAACAGCAGCUGAGAUACCUGGAAAAGAAAAAGGAAAUAGGUGCACCUGACAUCCAAAAUUGGAAGAAGAUAACCCAGGAAUUGGAAGUGGAGAGGGAAGACAUGCAAGAAGAGUUGGACCAUGGGACUGCUGCUGCCUUGAAGAAGAGAGGAAGAAAAGAAAUCAAAGGGACAGAGAAUGCUCAACUCCUGAGUGCUGCACUGAGGAAGAGUGAACUGGCCAAAGGGACUCUGAAGAAAAACUCCAUAAUGCUGCAGAGAAAAUCUCCUGACAACUGCAUGGGCCAGUCUCAUCUCCAGGUAGGCACAAGCAUUGACCUUCUGUCCACUCCAGUGUCCCUGAAGGAUUCCAGUGAUGUUUCCCAUAAAGAAGUGGGACUCUAUAUCCCUGUGAGUCCAGGCCUGCUUGGCCAAAGAAUCAGAAUUUUUAGGAGAGUGUUCCCAUCACACUCUCUUACGUCGCGUGUCCCCAAGUCUGACCAGCAAAAUACGUUGGCUUCUCAAAGAGAAGAGGUCUCCAGCAGCUCAGGGGAGCAGCAGUAGCCCUCCUGCUGAUUCACAGCCUGUGGAGCAAGGGGUGUCCCUGCUGCAGUCACAGCUGGCCCGAGACCGACAGCACCACCUGGAGAGCUGUGCAGGGAGCAGGCACGAGCCACUCCCCUUGAGUCACAGGGAGCAGAAGGGAUCUCCUUGCUUCCUAAACUUCUCAGAGAGGAGCCAGAGUGCAGCUGGAUGUAGUCUUAGCCUUAGAUUUUGUCAAUAGUUUAUGUUUAAAGGAUAGUUAGAGGUUUAAGGGAACCUUUAUACAACUGUGUUCCAUAGGAUGUAGGAUGUAUUUAUAGACAAAUAAAGAGUUUGUUAUGAUCACGAUUAAACUAAAAGAUCUUUAUCAGAAUUACUACCCAGUACAGGGUAUAUAACUAUAACUUCCAGUAUAAUGCAUUAUAAUUGAAGCAACUUUGAAGCAAUUCCAACCAGGAAAACCAAUUCUUAAUUAGUGAUUGAUCACCCAAACCAAUGAUCAUGGGCAAAGAUUUCUCUCAGCCUCAAGGAGUGACACUGAGGGACAUGAUCACUCCAGGGAGGAAUCUGGAGAAGGGAGGCAUGUGACAUAAUCCAUUUUGGUGAGGUCAGGAGACUCCUGCCAUGUGUGGAGCUUUUUCAUUUGUCCUGAGGAAACUGCAACCUGUUUUUUUCUGAGAGUCACAGAAUCUCAGGCUGGCUGAGCUUGGAGGCACUUCUGGAGGUCACCUUGGAUCAUUGUAGAGACAGACACACAACACACACCCACCCCCACACACACACUUGAGUAGAGACAACAGUGGCUCCUCUUUAUUACAUGAUGUUCUCAAGUUUACACCUUUAACAAAGCAUGAUCUGAAGUCAUUAGUUACAUUGAAACAGCUCAUUAUAUUCAUUGGACAAAGCAAUAGCUCAUGGUAUUUUAUUGUUACAAAGCAAUUAAUGUCAAUAAUUAAUUGGCAAGAGCUUACAACAGAUUAUUAAGGCACAUAUGCUCUCCUAAGGCAUAACUCUCCCCUAACUGCAAAUAUCCCUUAUGUAUCUAUUUUAUUGGUUUCCAUGCUAAAGGACUUGCUUUCUUAAAAAUUAUAAUGGUCAUGCAUCCCAAGAAUUUAAAAAGAUUUUUGCUUUGUUUCAGCAUUAUCAAUACAUGAGGGCUUUGAAAAUGUCUUCUCUAUACAUCUACUAUUAGUGCAGCAUUGUAUGAUAUAAGGUGAUUGUCAGGUAUUACUACUGUAAUUACAGUCAAUUUCUGCAAAAUUAAUUUCUUUAAAAUUGAAUUGAAAGCUCAUAUGGUUAACCAUGCACAAAAAGGGUUGGAUGACAGGUUUCUUUUAUUCUUUAACCUUUUCUUUCAUUUCAGCAGGUUUACUGUGGAUUUUGUUCAAGACAGUUUGCAGCAGUCUCCAAGUUAAGAUGAAAGAGAUCCAAAUAACAGAGAGCUGAUUAAAUUCUAACUGUUAAAUAUUUUGUUUAAGGGGAGUAAGCUAAAGGCAUCCCUCCAGUUUAAAACUGAGGCCCUGGCCAUGCCUUGACUUUACCUGGAUGGAGAAUUUACUGAUAAACCCAGAUAUUUUCUGCAUCAGAACAAUAUUGAGGUCAGUUUGACUUGGCAGUUAGUGUAUUAAUAUAGCAGCUGGAUCUUUAGAGUGAACUUGGAAAACUGUUCUCCAGACAUGAUUUUCCAAUCUGUCACUGAUUCAUCUGCUGUGGCAGACUCUGGGAUGUUAGCACAUCCAGUAAUCCAUAUUACAGGUUAUUUAGAUCAUUUUAAUAUAGCAUAAUAUCAAUUAUGCAUCUUCUUAAGUUCUUGAUUGCUGUAAAAGUGUUAUUUACUAUAUGUAUACAUGUGCAUGUGUUUUACUUCAAUGGUUUUUCAUUGUCAUAACAAGAAAACAGAUAUCUUACCUUUGGCUUACAAGAGACGGGGAGAAAACAGAGGCUGUAGAAACUCAGAAGCAUGGAAACCCUAUGUAUUUUGGAGUUUUGAAAAAAAAAAAAGCAUAAAAAACUUAUAUCUGUUGUAAAUUUUCUGAACAGUCCUUUUUAAACAGUACUUUUACAGAACCAAUUCCAUCAAUUAUCAGGUAUUCUUCUAACGGUAUUCAAACAAAGCUGAGAGAGAGUUCUUUGGUUCUGGUCAAAGGUUCAGAAGCAGGAUAGAUUAAAAAUCCAUUUCAAUUAAUAGCCUGGAGGAAAGGAUAUGCUUGUGUAUUCACAGGUUCAAAGCAGAAGUAACUUCCUAAUGAAGAGCAUGGAAACUUAUCAGCUGCAGAAACAAGGAAACACUCUGUGUCUCAGACUCCAACAACAGCAGCUUGUAACGUAAGCAUAGCAGCUUGUAAGUUAUCACAGCUUGCCGAUAACUUUUGGCACAACACCGCUCAAAAUACCAGUUCUGAAGAGGCAAAACAAUUCUUUCAGGACCUUGACCAGUCAAUCCAACACAUUGUUUAGGAGACUUAAUAGGUUCAGCAAUUAAUUCAGAAAGACCAGAAGCAGUUUUUAUAGAUCUGUCCUGGGUUGAUUAUGAAGUUAAAUUGUAUCCCCAUUCGUCCACCUAACCCAGAGACAGGUUUUGUAUUCCUAAAAUUCCAUCUGAGACUAAAAGUGAGUGGGAAAGAAGCACCGAGUCUGUUAUCAGAGACUGUACUUGCUCCCCCCGCAUCGGGAGUUUUGACUACAGCACAGACAGACAACAAGACACAGAUCGCCUUGUCUUUCCAACUAGCCAGAGCAGAGGGAUCUUCCUGGACUGUUUUCUUUCCCUUUUUCUGAAACAAAUUGAACCUGCUUUGGACUGGGGACUCGGGGGAGCACCGGGAGCUCACACCCGUGGACUACCGGGAGCCCAGCCUGGGCAGCGGCAUUUUCCAGCCCCAGAGGGACUGAUAACAGAGCAAACACCCACAGGAAAGAGACCCUCUGAAGUUUUUCAUCUCUUCAGAGCGGCGAGGGGUUUUGUAACUUGAUAUCAUUCAUUUUUUGUGCUGGGUAGUGCUGUGCCUGUGAAAUAAACAGGUUUUUUCCACUUC